AUUGAACGCUGGCGGCAGGCCUAACACAUGCAAGUCGAACGAGUGGCGGACGGGUGAGUACUGUCUGGGAAACUGCCUGAUGGAGGGGGAUAACUACUGGAAACGGUAGCUAAUACCGCAUACCCUCGAAUGUGCCCAGAGGGGAGUAGCUAGUAGGUGGGGUAAAGGCUCACCUCGGCGACGAUACCUAGCUGGUCUGAGAGGAUGACCAGCACAACUGUAACUGAGAUACGGUCCAGACUCCUACGGGAGGCAGCAGUGGGGAAUAUUGCACAAUGGGCGCAAGCCUGAUGCAGCAAUGCCGCGUGUAUGAAGAAGGCAUUCGGGUUGUAAAGUACUUUCAGCGGGGAGGCGUUACCCGAAGAAGAAGCACCGGCUAACUCCGUGCCAGCAGCCGCGGUAAUAC
rnacentral:rRNA from 1 species